GGCAGGCCUCCUUGAGCUGUGGUGGGCUCCACCCAGUUGGAGCUUCCUAAGCAAGCCUGGGCAAUGGCGGGCGCCCCUCCCCCAGCCUCGCUGCCGCCUUGCAGUUUGAUCUCAGACUGCUGUGCUAUCAAUCAGUGAGACUCCGUGGGCGUAGGACCCUCCAAGCCAGGUGCCGGAUAUAAUCUCGUGGUGCGCCGUUUUUUAAGCCCGUCGGAAAAGCGCAGUAUUCGGGUGGAAGUGGCCCGAUUUUCCAGGUGCGUCCGUCACCCCUUUCUUUGACUCGGAAAGGGAACUCCCUGACCCCUUGCGCUUCCCAAGUGAGGCAAUGCGUCACCCUGCUUCGGCUCGCGCACGGUGCGUGCACCCACUGACCUGCGACCACUGUCUGGCACUCCCUAGUGAGAUGAACCCUGUACCUCAGAUGGAAAUGCAGAAAUCACCCGUCUUCUGCGUCGCUCAUGCUGGGAGCUGUAGACUGGAGCUGUUCCUAUUCGGCCAUCUUGGCUCUUCCCCCGUUUUACAAUUUAAAGGUAAAGACCUUCACAAUCGGGAACCCGUAGAUUGGAUCUUCUGAAAACAUCAGAGAAAGACUAUCUUUGCCAUCCACACUACAGUAAAACUUUGGAGCCUUGAACCUUGGAUUUAUAAUCUCACAACUGAGAAGGGUCCCUCCAUACUCCUGGAACUGUACACCCAUUGGAACUCUUAAGGAUGAUAUACAUGGCCAGGUGAAGACAGUAGAGAGAAAACAGAACUGAAAUCAUUGCUACUUCAUCUUCAUUUUG
rnacentral:lncRNA from 10 species